AGGAAGAGAAGAUGUUUCUUUUAUCAGGGAGCAGCAUAACCAGUUGGUGUUUAGUACCAAAUGUUCCUGAGUGAGGUGAAGCACAAAAAAGUUCUCAGCUGGGAGUUACUCUGCAGGGGACUAGUCUGUAAACGUCAUGGUUAUACUGGAUUUUAUUACACUGGCAGUCAGCUGUGAUAACAGACAUUAAUUUAAUGUAUUUAAUGUAAUAUUAAUAUCCAUUCAUCCAUCUCUAUUAUUGAAUUAAAUUAGAAUUAUGUAUACUAAUGUAUACCACAUUAUCUAUCUGAGGUACUACUUCUCAAACAGUGGGGUGGGCUCCUCUAGGGGGCGCAGUGAGGUGCCGAGGGGCGUGACGUGAGGAAUAUGAACCACCGCUGUAAUGCUUGAAUGAUAACAAGCCUCCAGUCACUAGGUGGCAGCAACUCAUACAGUGGUUUGUACAGAUAAAAUAUACACGUUAUAUGGUUCGCAAUAGUAUUGCAAUUCGCGGGAGUGUGGGUUGGAGUCAGGCGUGAAAACAUUUCUGUCCUCAUGUGGGGGUAUGACAGAAGUUACAUUGAGAAUCACUACUCUGUGUAUAGUAUUCCUCUCCUAUCGCGAUAGUUGCAAGACCCACCGCUAACAGGUUAAAUCCGCGAGGUAGGGGCGAGAUAGUUUUUAUAUCAUUUCUGUAUAUAUUUACCCUUAUCAACCCUCCCUAGACUGUAUUACCCUUUCCAACACAAUUAUAUGCACAGUAGAGUUGUAGAAUGGAAAUAUAAGACAUACACAUUACGUAAAUAGAUUAAAUACAACGCGGCGGAAGUUAGCGCUCAGUUGCAAGAGGAAGUGCACGGGAGUGGCGAUGCAGAUGCAGCCCCGGGCGGAAGUGAGCGCAAUUGGAGUAACCCGCUCCUCUCCUUAUAUUAAUAGGAAAAGUAGGAGACGGACCGACCUUACAUAAAUGUUGGGCACAAUCAGCGUGAGGAACGGAAGUGAAUGCUCAACUAGCCAAUAGAAUGCUGUGCAAGAUCUCGUCCAGUGUCACCUUUUCUAAUGUGUCUUCAUGAAGUUCGUUGAGGUUCAGCGUGUAGAUGCCUUCCUCUGCACCGAGAAUGAGGUGGACGCGCAGUGGAUGUGAAGAGGACAGCCGUUGAAAACUUUGGAGAAGCAGGCUCCCAUCUGUAGUGGCAGCACAUGUGAAUACCACCAAACAAUUCACAAGAGACCUGACAGUGAUUGAAUUGUGCCUGUUGAUCAUUUGGUAGCGGGCCACAGCUAAAGUAUUCAUGAUUUACUUCAUUUACUUUUUAUAUAUUUUGUCUGUAUUAUGCCACAAAUAAUUGCAGAUAAACGGUAUUACUGUCAACAACAUUUUGAGACCAAAUUAGUCACUAAGGAAAUGAUAAUAUAUUAUAUAUAUAUAACAAGUGCACCUUUUCAAAUGAAAUAAACUUUAUAUCUUAUGAGUAUUUUCUAUGAUGACUACGUGUCCCCCUUUAACGUUGCACCACGAUACUGGAUGAUACUACAGUUCAUAAGAAACCUGGCUGCAUUUAGCAAAAAUUUCAAAAAGAAGAUAAUUUGUAUGUGAUGAAAUGUCUAAGAGCUUGUGUCAACAAUGUUAGAAAUCACAUCAUAUUUUAUAUUUGGACUAAUGUCACUUAGAGCUUUCACAGUGGCAUGACUCCUUUUUACCUAUUUUUAUACCAAAUAAUGCUGGGAUGACAGCACUGACAGAAGAUAUGUCUUUCCCAGUGAAAUACCGUAAUUUACGGACUAUUGAGCACAUCUAAAUAUAAGCCGCACCCACUAAAUUUAAGAAGAAAAAAACAAUAGUACAUAUAUAGGCCGCACUUCUCUAUAAGCCGCAAGUGUCCACAUUGUAACAUGGGAUAUUUACACAGAAAGAUUAUUUUUCACAUAUUAAAUAAAUAAAUGUUUUUUCCCGAACAGUGCCUGUAACACAGCUGGUUAAACGUUAGCUCUUUCCUGUUUCAGCACCAUAGUUGGAAUGUACAGGGGAGACUUAGUGAUCUACUCCAGGGCUGAAGCUAACAUUAGCUCCGGGGCUAACUCCCUUCACUUUGUGCUCGUCCACAGCAGAGGUAAACAGAAACAGUGAAGU